rnacentral:rRNA from 1 species
UGGCAUAUCAAUAAGCGGAGGAAAAAGAAACCAACAGGGAUUGCCUCAGUAAMCGGCGAGUUGAAGCGGCAACAGCUCAAAUUUGAAAUCUGGCCCUUUCAGGGUCCGAGUUGUAAUUUGUAGAGGGUGCUUCGGCGUCGGCCGUGGUCUAAGUUCCUUGGAACAGGACGUCACAGAGGGUGAGAAUCCCGUACGUGGCCGCCGGCCUUCGCCAUGUGAAGCCCCUUCGACGAGUCGAGUUGUUUGGGAAUGCAGCUCUAAAUGGGAGAUAAAUUUCUUCUAAAGCUAAAUAUUGGCCAGAGACCGAUAGCGCACAAGUAGAGUGAUCGAAAGAUGAAAAGCACUUUGGAAAGAGAGUCAAAAAGCACGUGAAAUUGUUGAAAGGGAAGCGCUUGCAGCCAGACGUGCCCGCAGUUGCUCACCCGGGCUCUCGCCCGGGGCACUCUUCUGCGGGCAGGCCAGCAUCAGUUCGGGCGGUCGGAUAAAGGCCUCUGUCACGUACCACCCUCCGGGGUGGCCUUAUAGGGGAGGCGCAACACGGCCAGCCUGAACUGAGGACCGCGCAUCAGCUAGGAUGCUGGCGUAAUGGCUGUAAAGCGGCCCGUCUUUGAAACACGGACCAAA